AUGGGAAGACGGGCUGCUGAUCCGACCACUCCUGUGCCAGUGCUGGGAGUUCCCGCCCUGGUCGGGGUACGAGGAUGGAGAACAGCUGGGGGUGAGAGGGCCGGGGCUGUGGCCCAACUGACAUGGAGCCAGUGCAGCAUAGGGGUGCAGACAUCCCCCGCCAUCCGUAUCCUCAAAUCGCAGCUGGAUCCGAAACACCCGGAUGCACUCACCAGCCAACCAAAAUGCAGGGCGUCCAAAUUGACCAAUGGGAGCAGCUUGCAAGUGGAAACGACAGACGAGGAGUACAAACAGGGUGUGCUGAAAACCAAUAAAUGGGCCUCACUAAAACACAGGGGAAACGACGGCAAGUCCAAAAAGGGGGUGACUUUUGAAGGGCUGAAUGACUCUGCUGAGGAUGGUAUGGAUAGAGUCUCCAAACGAGAGGUGCAGUACUAUGCAACGGCAAUCAAGACAAACCCAUACCUGCCUGGUGGGACUGUGAGUGGGCGGGCCCUUGGGAAACGGGAGCAGCGAUACACCAAUGGCAGCGUAGUCGACUCGGAGCUCAUAGGCGGCAUCUGCAGCGUCGGAGAUGGGGAGAGGGACUCUGCUCCUGAGCAGCAAGCGACCAGGAUAAGGGUACCUGCUGUGGUGCAUUCUGGGAAAAGGAGGACACCGCCUGGUCCACCGCCCAGCAGGGCACCGCCCCGGAUCUGUCAGCAGUGUGGAGGGAGACAGGCACCGUCUCCUCAGGUCGACCUCGACCCAGUUAAGGACCUGAUAUCCCCUACAUUACUGUCCCCGACUGAAAGAGAGAUUUGGAGCCCUCUCACCCCUUCCCCAGGCAUCAACUCAGCGCCACCAAGGCAAAUCACCAGGGAGCUCACUUUCCCACUCACACACAAGGAUCCCACACUUACUCCCUUCCCUCUCCACCCCAUCAUAAAAAUAAACAAAGACGGCAGGCCUGACACGCAGGUCACGCGGCCAUCCACACUGGAGCAGGAGACCAGAGUAACCAGGGUGUACCCCAUCUUUGCUCCUCAGAGGGACACCAUCAUCCCCCUGCCCGCGCACGCGCCUCCGGUCUGUCCUGUCCGCGCCACGUCUCCACCUUCCGUCUCUUCGCCUCCGCUGAAACCAAUGAUGACAGUCACCGUCACUCAGGAGACGAAGGCUAACUUCACCCCUCGUCACAGUCUGGCAAGACCCAACACUCUUGUGCUUCCGACUCCCCAAAACACACAUGCAUCCAUCUCUCGUAGCAGCAGCAGCACACACACCACCAGCAAACCUCAGCAGACAAUCGCUUUAACCGGCCCGCAGGCGAGCCAACACGUGAGCCCACCAAAGACGCCGAAGCCGUCUGCUAGCGCUGGCCUGAAAUGCAUGCCCAGUCAACAGACAGACACAGAGACGGUCACCAGCAAAAUGCCACCCGCGUACAGCAACACACACCCCAAGAUCAGCGCUAAGCCAAACACACGCAAUGACGCCCUUCCUGCCACAAUGCCGCUCACAUUCACAUCCAUGGCACAUCAAAACGCCUCGCGUCCCCCCUGCUUGCGAAAUGAGAAACGCCCGUGCACCCCGUACGUAAGAAAACGAAAACUCGGGUCCAUUUCCGACCACUCCACACACAGCCCGUCCACUGUCCCAGAAACCUGCCCCUCUCGAGAAAACACAGUGGCAAAUGUGAAGACACACAGUAGAAAUGAACAACCUUGUGCAGCUUCUAAAAUUGCUAGUAGACAAAGCCUCCCCGUAAAGGACCCUUUGAUCCCGAGAUCCGUCGACACAUCUCCAGCAAUUCCUCUGACGCACCCUGGCAUCCAUUCUGAGCCUGUCACAGUGAAUGGGACAAACACUGACUUCAAACACAGCACAAGCACUUGUAAGUACCUACACGCUCACUGCAAACCCUCGCCCCGGCCAGAAACAUGCCACAAACCCAUCCUCAAGAUUAAAGGGGGCAAAAGCAUUCUCUGCCCACCCACCACACCACCUCCACCACACCGGCCCGUGGCAGCCGUACCGCUAACACAUUGCAAUAACCUAUAUGCUCAGCUUGCACAAAAGCCCCAGCCUUGCACUACUACAAGCACAAAGCAGAGACUCACCGAACCUAACCCUGACUUUACACAGAAUGGACAGUUCACCGCAGAGGCAGCUGUGGAGCUGGAAUCAUCUUUGGUGGGCAAACAAACUGAACCCAGCAUGCUAGCU
ensembl:lncRNA